rnacentral:ncRNA from 1 species
CGGAUGAAGACUGCCCUAGACACCACCUUGGGGCCGAAGAAGCAAUGCGGAAGGCUCAUCUUCCUUCCGUGGAAACUGACAGGCAAAAGAAAGGCAGCCCGACGGGACUUUGGAGAGAAUGCAAAAGCAUCGCCUACGAGGCUAGAACCAACUGGCAAAAGGACAGAGA